ACAUACAUGAGGAGGUGAUUCAGAGUAUGAUGAAGAGGAGAGCACAAAGAAGUUUGCGAGGAAAGUAGCUGAUCAUUAUAGUCGAAGAACAAACCAAACUCUGGAAGACAGAGAAGCUAGUCCCAUCAUUCAUCUGAAGAAACUCAACAAUUGGAUUAAAAGUGUGUUGAUCCAGCUUUAUGCUCGUCCUGACGACGCUGUUCUAGACCUCGCAUGUGGGAAGGGUGGUGAUUUGAUCACGUUGGACAAGGCAAGGAUCGGUUACUAUGUUGGAAUCGAUAUAGCCGAAGGAUCGAUUGUCGAAUGCGUUAUAAUGGUGACGCAGACCAUCACCAACGUCGUAUGAAGUUCAGCUUCCCCUCCCGUUUAUUAUGUGGGGACUGUUUUGAAGUAAGUUCCUAGAGUAGUUUCAAACACACAAGUUCUUGUCUUGAUACUUGUGUGUUUAAAACUACCAAUGUUGUGGUGGCUGACAAGUUUGCUGCUGAUGCCAACAACAAGGUCUGUCUCUCAUUGCUUUUAGAAAUGUCCUAAAUUCUUGGUUAAUGGUUGAUAGAAGAAAACUGAAAGGAUUUCAAUUUUUUUUUUAAAAAAAAAAUUUUUAUUCUAAGGAUUCUAAAUUAGGGUACACCAUUGUAGACACUUUUUUACAAUGA